rnacentral:rRNA from 1 species
AUUGAACGCUGGCGGCAGGCCUAACACAUGCAAGUCGAACGAUCGGCGGACGGGUGAGUAAUGUCUGGGAAACUGCCUGAUGGAGGGGGAUAACUACUGGAAACGGUAGCUAAUACCGCAUACCAUCAGAUGUGCCCAGAUGGGAUUAGCUAGGUGGUGGGGUAACGACUCACCAAGGCGACGAUCCCUAGCUGGUCUGAGAGGAUGACCGGCCACACUGGAACUGAGACACGGUCCAAAAACCUACGGGAGGCAGCAGUGGGGAAUAUUGCACAAUGGGCGCAAGCCUGAUGAAGCCAUGCCGCGUGUGAGAAGAAGGCCUUCGGGUUGUAAAGUACUUUCAGCGGGGAGGCGUUACCCGCAGAAGAAGCACCGGCUAACUCCGUGCCAGCCACCGCGGUAAUAC